rnacentral:rRNA from 1 species
CCUACGGGGGGCAGCAGUCGAGAAUCAUUCACAAUGGGGGAAACCCUGAUGGUGCGACGCCGCGUGGGGGAAUGAAGGUCUUCGGAUUGUAAACCCCUGUCAUGUGGGAGCAAAUUAAAAAGAUAGUACCACAAGAGGAAGAGACGGCUAACUCUGUGCCAGCAGCCGCGGUAAUACAGAGGUCUCAAGCGUUGUUCGGAAUCACGGGGCGUAAAGCGUGCGUAGGCUGUUUCGUAAGUCGUGUGUGAAAGGCGCGGGCUCAACCCGCGGACGGCACAUGAUACUGCGAGACUAGAGUAAGGGAGGAGGAACCGGAAUGCUCGGUGUAGCAGUGAAAUGCGUAGAUAUCGAGAGGAACACUCGUGGCGAAGGCGGGUUCCUGGACAUUAACUGACGCUGAGGCACGAAGGCCAGGGGAGCGAAAGGGAUUAGAUACCCGAGUAGUC